rnacentral:lncRNA from 10 species
GAAGAAAUGACAUCAAAGAUGUACAAAGUUAUCAUCAGAAAAACAAUGAAGGCCAGGUGCGGUGGCUCAUGCCUAUAAUCCCAGCAAUCUCAUCUCUACAAAAAAUAAAAAAUCAAAAAUCAGCCAGAUAUGGGAUCUUGCUAUGUUGCCCAGGCUGGUCUCAAACUCCUAGCACCAAGCAACCCUCCUGCCUCAGCCUCCCAAAUUCCUAGGAUUACAGGCACAUCACAGCCUUCUUGCUCUUAGGAACACUAGCCAGCACGAAAUCACUGUGCUUGGGGCCUUUUCAACAGCAAAAUCAACAGGAAGCACAAAAAUGUGGCAAAAUGACACUAACUAGACCAUGCUAAGGAAGCUUGUUCACAGCGUGAGCCAAAACAAGAAGGCCGAGCAUCGCCUUGUUCCACCUCAGCUGGGAACGUGCAUUUGAGCAACUCAAAUCUUGUGUCACUCAUGCAUGCCUGUGAAUUACCUCAAAAGCACUGUCUCCAAGGAAUGCUGUUUCCUGCCUGUCGUGAGAGACACAAAGUGAACUUAGUGUUGGGAGAUGGAAGCUGGAUGGCUCUCAGGGGCUGACCCGCAGGGUGCCGGACUUCGGGAUAUAGCAGAGAGAGCUUGGCAUGACUUAUUACUCCAGGCUGUAGAAUCCUGGAAAAGAGCUACCAUGCAGCCUACGCCUGGUCAACUGGAGGACCACCUUAGUGGAAACGAGACAAUCUGGGCCUCUGGCCUGCCAUGUGCACAAGAAUAACAAUUGCUUUUGUUUAACAUGCAGAAGGAAUAUUUGAUCAAUUUUAACCAGCUGCAGGCCUGAGUGGACUGCUCCCGGGAAGCCACUUUCAUGGCGUCCCCUCU